AUGGGCCUAAGAGGGGGGUUCUAUCGCGGCCUAAUUCUCUUUGAUUCACCUCAAACUCAACUGGAAACAAAAAUUGAAAAGGAAAAAAGAUACGUACCAACCGGAGUAGCACCGACGGUUCUUCGAAUUGAUGAAGAUCGUAAGAAAACCAUAGAAGUUGCAAUUCAAAUUGCAGAAUUGGAAUUGACUAAAAUGAUAAUCGAAGAUUCGAUUCGGCUAUGA